rnacentral:lncRNA from 15 species
UGGAGGUUAGUGAGUCCCAGUGGAGGUUGGUUAGUCCCAGUGGAGGUUUAGCUGCAGUGUCACAGUGUGAGAAAUACCACGAGCACUGAUCAUCAGUGAUGAGGAGACUGUAACCUUCCUCACAUCAGGAAUGUCUGAUUUCCAUCAUUUGACCUUUGACUUUAGCUCUUUUACAUUAUGCUGAUAUUCAGACUAAUGUUGUGUCUUACAACGUGUCUGUUGGGGAACAGCUGCACCAAACAAGGGUUACAUAUAAAGUCAUAUAAUUCAUUAGUUAAAACGUUCUAUAUUAAAACAAUAAAACUGAAUCCACAUCAGUCCACUUUGUUGGACAUCUUCAUGCUCUGCUGAUCAGCAGCUGUUUAGCUGUAUUACUCUACUACAGUGGUUGGUUCUCCAAACAUAAGCAGAAAUAACACAACAAACUCAAUAAGGAAAUACUCAAUGAAACAAAGACAAGGUGAGUAUCAGUCCAUCAUGUUCUCAUUAGACAUUUAGUUCAACUGUGGCUCAUAUAAAGUUUCAUCAUUAGCACAUUAUCAGACUACAAACUGUUUACAAUCUGUGAUCACUGAUCAAUAUUUAUUACCUGUAAUCAGAGCUGUGACACCAUGUCCUCUGUUAGGAGAGAGAGGUGAACUUGAAUGUGAUGUGAGCGUACGUUAACAGCUGACUGUGAUCAAUAAUAAUCUGAAUGAUUUAUUGAUGAUCUCUCUGAAGCUCCACCACUUCCUGUACCGGCCCUGUCCUGACUUUCCUCCCAGCAUGCUCUGCACCUGUCUGCGCUCCACCCCCCCACCUGACUCCAGCUGCCCCAGCGAUGGAGUGUUACCACGGUUACUGUUGGAGAAAAACACAGGCGUGUCCGGGUACCUGUGGACCUGUUACCUGAGCUCACAGCUCCCACACAGUACCAUACUGUCAGUCUCUACAAUCAGACUGCUGGUCUUCACUGUCUCUGAGCUCUCUGCUGCCUUCUGGUGGAUCCAGUCGGACCAGAUCUCAGAUCAACACAGCACUAGCCUGGUCCUGCAGGACUCUGACCCCCGACCCCCAGAACAACCCCCAGAGUGGACACAGACUCAGGUAAACUCUGACCUCUGA